rnacentral:misc_RNA from 1 species
UCAAAUUUAAAACUGCAAGAUACCAAUACUAGUGUAAAUGUUAGUCAAACAAUUCAAGCUUCUAGUGCAAGUUCUGUGUCCACCUCAGAGACAGUGACCACUGCCUCAGAACAGUCACAGGAAGUCCCCAGCAGUAAAGAUGCCGACCAGUAGACUAGUCGCUGACCAGUAGACUACCUGUAGUCACUGACCAGUAGACAAGUCACUGGCUGUUGUUAAGUGUGUAUAUGAUUUAUGAAAGAUACUUUAUGCAUAGUUUAUUUGAUUUAUUUUAAUAUUAUAUCUGCAAAUAAUAAAUGGUAUGUGAUCUG